UACGUAGGUGACAAGCGUUGUCCGGAUUUACUGGGCGUAAAGAGCGCGCAGGCGGUCGAUCAAGUCGAGUGUGAAAGCCCCCGGCUCAACUGGGGAGGGUCAUUCGAUACUGAUCGACUCGAAGGCAGGAGAGGGUAGUGGAAUUCCCGGUGUAGUGGUGAAAUGCGUAGAUAUCAAGUGGAACACCAGUGGCGAAGGCGAGUCCCUGGACAACUCCUGACACUGAGGCACGAAAGCUAGGGGAGCAAACAGG
rnacentral:rRNA from 1 species